rnacentral:rRNA from 1 species
GAUGAACGCUGGCGGCGUGCCUAAUACAUGCAAGUCGAGCGAACGGACGAUAAGCUUGCUUCUUUGAUGUUAGCGGCGGACGGGUGAGUAACACGUGGAUAACCUACCUAUAAGACUGGGAUAACUUCGGGAAACCGGAGCUAAUACCGGAUAAUAUUUUGAACCGCAUGGUUCAAAAGUGAAAGACGGUCUUGCUGUCUCUUAUAGAUGGAUCCGCGCUGCAUUAGCUAGUUGGUAAGGUAACGGCUUACCAAGGCGACGAUGCAUAGCCGACCUGAGAGGGUGAUCAGCCACACUGGAACUGAGACACGGUCCAGACUCCUACGGGAGGCAGCAGUAGGGAAUAUUGCGCAAAGGGCGAAAGCCUGACGGAGCAACGCCGCGUGAGUGAUGAAGGUCUUCGGAUCGUAAAACUCUGUUAUUAGGGAAGAACAUAUGUGUAAGUAUCUGUGCACAUCUUGACGGUACCUAAUCAGAAAGCCACGGCUAACUACGUG